GGCGGUAUCCUUCUUGAGCUAAAAAGAUGUAGCUUCCUGCUACAUCUCACACGACACAUCUCAUUUGAAUGUUCAAACCUUUAGUGACUGAAUCGAAUACUAAAGUUAAUUUGACUUCAAUAGAGACUAGUUUGCGGGAGAAACUGUGCCAGUUAGCAGGAGGGUGUGAUGAGUGCUUUACCUGGUCCAGGAUCCCCACCCCCUCCUCCACUGCCUAUUUCUAGGCUCGCGUUACCUGCCUAUCACUCUUGAGCUA
rnacentral:siRNA from 1 species